rnacentral:lncRNA from 10 species
GGGCAGGGCCGCCUCUCACCCGGCUUCCCGCCUAGUGAGCGCACCUUGGACGCCUGCGGCUUUUCCGAGCCGAAGCUCACGGGCUGUGGCCGGCUUCGUUUCGUGUAGUGCAGCUCCGCGACCGCCCGUGGCCACACCAUUCGGGGACUUCGUGCUUUACGAUGGGGGCGCAGUGGCCUGGCACACGCAGCACCCCGGGCCUCGAACCCUCGCGCUGGCCCCCCUGGACCCGCACAGUCAGGGUACCUGCCCAUACCGAUGGGGUGGGGACCACCACGGAGCCUUUCCUUGGCCCCGCGGCUUCUGUUCCUUUCGAGACGGACAGCGCCCACCCGGAGGAAAGCCUGACAGACGAGACUUCGCAAGGAACCUGCCAGUUCAGGGAGGCCCAUCUUUCUAGAAGGUUAACAGGAACUUCCAGCCUACUUAGUGACCGGCUGCUGGAGGACGGUGAGCGGCCCCUGCUGUCCACGUCUCCACGGGGGUCACCAAGCACACUCACAGGGUCCCCCUCUCCACCUGGAGCAGAGAAUUUGGAGGAGCCCGUCUUGCUGUCUUUUCUGAUGUUGUUAAACUAUGCUUGGGCCUGCCCGUUGCUCAGAGGAGCUUUCUACACAGCUGGACUUCUGAGGUGGGACUUGCCAUGUGCUAACGCCAGCACUCGGAGCAGUCUCUGCCACUGGCAACGUCCUGUCCUAAACAUCCCCAAUGUGACCUCUCUCCUGAAAGGCCUGUGUGCGACUUAUCUGUGAAGCUGGAAGAAAGUUCUGGAACUUCCCCUUCUCCUUUGGUGCAAAGUUACACUAACUGUCAUGAUGUUGUUGAUUUCCAUUUUUUUUUGUUGUUCUUGUUGAGACGGAGUCUCACUCUGUUGCCUGGGUUGGAGUGCAGUGGCGCGAUCUCGGCUCACUACGGCCUCCGCCUCCUGGGUUCAAGUGAUUCUCCUGCUUCAGCCUCCCAAGUAGCUGGGAUUACAGGCACCUGCCACCACAGCUGGCUGAUUUUGUAUUUGUAGUAGAGACAGGGUUUCACCAUGUUGACCAGGCUGGUCUUAAAUUCCUGACCUCAGGUGAUCUGCCCACCUCAGCCUCCCAAAGUGCUGGGAUUACAGGCGUGAGCCACUGUGCCCGGCCUUGAUUUCCUUUUUAAGCAGAGUUGAGUCUGUCCACACCAGUGCUGCCUGGGCCUUCCUGAGCACCUGUGGCUGGCAUCGCUUCCCAUCUCUCCUCCCUGUGGCAGGCAGCAGUCUUGCUAUUCCCGGCACCUCUGCAAAGCUGCCUUCAGAGCUGCAUCUCGGAAGCCACUGCACAGCCACAAUGCAUGCUGAAUGCAUCAGUAUGCAGAAUUCACUCACAUGUCAUACAGUUAGUCAAAAAUGUCGAGGCCCUGCCAGGUGGAGAGAUGGGGGAGAAUAUGGAUCCCUUCAUGAGUCCAAGCCGGGGGUACAAUCCCCUCAGGCCCCCUCCUCCUCCUGUGCUCCAGGUUUUCUAUUUCAAGGCUGCUGUUUACUUCCUUACUGUAUGUCAGCUCAGUCAUGGAUUUUAAACGAUGCAUAUAUAUAUAUAUAUUUUGCUUGUUUGUUCGUUUGUUUGUUUGACAUGGAGUCUUGCUCUGUCACCCAGGCUGGAGUGCAGUGGUGUGAUCUCAG